rnacentral:rRNA from 1 species
UACAGAGGGUGCGAGCGUUAUUCGGAUUCAUUGGGCGUAAAGCGCGUGUAGGCUGUUUGAUAAGUCUGAUGUGAAAUCCCAGAGCUCAAAUCUGGAAGUGCAUUGGAUACUGUCGAACUAGAGUAUAGGAGAGGAGAGCGGAAUUCCUGGUGUAGAGGUGAAAUUCGUAGAUAUCAGGAGGAACAACAGUGGCGAAGGCGGCUCUCUGGACUAUUACUGACGCUGAGACGCGAAAGCGUGGGGAGCAAACAGG